CUCCAGGGUACCACGCAAAAGGGCCAGCUUCUUAUAUUAUUUGUUGAACGUUUUACUAAGCUUGCCAAGGUAACUUUGAGUUGCACCUCAUUGAAACAGAAAAAUCUGGAGGGUCUCGGUGAUCUGCCCAACUUAUGCUAUGUUAGGUUGAGACACAAGGGAUACACAGAUGGCAAACUCACCUUCAAUGAGCACAAAUUCAAAAAUCUCAAGUACUUUCUUGUCGAGGGCAACAACAUGAGAGGCAUCAAAUUUCAGAAAGGAGCAGCUCCAAGGCUCGAGAAGAUUGUAUUGUCCUUCACUAACAUAGAGUCUCUUCAUGGGGUCGGGGACCUACCAAAACUGGAAGAGCUCGAAUUGAAGAGAAACAAGUUCCUUCUUUCAUUAUCUGAAGAGGGAGAAACUCUUGAGAAAUACAUGCUCACCUUCAAGAAGGAUGAAUUCCAACAUCUCAAGUACUUACUUGCUGAGGGCUUCAGCAAGAGCUUUGAGACAAACAUAACCUUUGAAGAUGGAGCAACUCCAAAGCUUGAGAAGAUCAUCUUGUACUCCUUCGCCAACAUAAUGUCUCAUCCUGGGGUCAGUAGCCUUCCAAAAUUUAAGGAGCUCGAGUUGAAGGGAAACAAGCCACUUCUUUCAUCAUUUGAAAAUGCCAAUAAAAUUUCCAAGGUGACUCUUCGCUCUACCUUGAUGCAGCAUGCUGACCUACAAAUCUUCGCUAAAAGACCAAGCAUAUGCUGUCUAAUUCUCUUGGGCAAUUCUUAUGAUGAUAGCCUGCUUACCUUCAACAAAGGUGAGUUUCCCAAGCUCGACCUUCUUAUUGUUGAGUGCCCUACCAUCACCGACAUCAGCUUCACCGAAGGAGCAGCUCCUAUGCUUGAGAAGAUCAUCUGGUCCUUCACCAAGAUGAAUUCUCUCUCAGGCAUCGACAAUCUCUCCAAACUGAAGGAGCUCGAGUUCAUUGGUGACCUUGUCCCUGACCAGGUGAAGAUAGAUAUUAACACACAUAGAAAGCAUCCUGUUCUUAACCACAAGCUGCCACAGCACCAAGACCAAGAAAAUGGAAGUGAACAAGGAGAAGAGGAGGAUCUAAAGUUUCCAGCAUGCUCCUGGUUGUCGUUGAAAAACAAGUAUUGGUCCGUUAACUGACGAAACAAAAUGUUUCCAUGCCAGCAUCCUCCAUCCUUCCAUCUAAUUAGUGAUCACUUGCAUGCUAGCAUGUGUUGUCCUUCUGCAAAUCUGUAAUACUUGUGUGUGUGUGUGUGUGUGUGUCUGUUUAUUCAUCAAUUAAUUCCUAGCUAGCUACCAGCUGCUAGCUAGCCGCAUGCAUGAUCUGUGCCAUCUGAUCAGUUCAAACAUGUAGCUGGAUAGCUUGGGCAUUGCAGCUGUGCCGACCGAUGCAGCUAGCCGCGCUCGUGUAUCGAGUUGGAUGUGUGGGUUUCAUCUGAAAUUAACCAUCUGAAGGUGUGCCUUGAGGUAAUCACUAAUCAGUGUGUGUGAUUUGAGCAUAUGGGUGUGCGUAUGCUCAUGGUGGAUUGGAUUUGUGCAUAUAUGUAUGUAAUGCAUCUCUGUCGAACCAUCAGUGUGGAGAAAAUUGCAUAUCUACCAUCGUAUAAAAUUGGCUUCGCUAGAAUACCAUCACUCAAAUGGGCUUCGCUGGAAUACCAUCUUCAACUGAGUGUAGUUUGAUACUUUGCCAUUUUCAUCACUUUUAGUAAAUGAAAAAGAUUUUGCUCUCUUUUUAGAUUUAUUGUGCCCAAAUUGCCCUCGGGCUUUUUUUUUCCUCCUCUCUCAAUUCAACCUUUUUUUCCUCCUCUCCAUGCUUGAGAGGUCGUCACCGGCGUGCCAAUCGCCGGCGGAGGCGAGGCGUCGAGGUGAGGUCGUCGUCGGUCGGUGAGUCGGGGUGGGCCGGCGGAGCUCGAGGCCGAGAUGACGCGAGCAACGGCGAUGCGGGAUGGCGGCCGAUACGAUGCCCCUGGGCCGAUACGAUGCGGGAUGGCUGUGCCCGCCGUACCGCCUCUCCCACAACUGCGCGCGUGGGGACGUCGUGCUCGCCGUGUGCAGGCUAGGACUCGCGCGGCUCGAGGACUACCGCGUGCUCCUCGACGCCGGUGGGUCCGAGCCACUCGCGGGCGGCCACGAGCACCGCGGGCUCCUCCGCGCCGCCGUGUGGCUGCUCGACCGAGAGGGCACCGCGAUCCGGCGGAUGGUGGCAGAGGUCGGGCUGGCGGGGUGCAGGCUCGUGUUCGUCGGCCACUCGCUCGGCGCGUGGGUCGGCGAGGAGAGGCGGCGCGGCGGCUAGCUCGGCACCGGUCGGCGACACUGGCGUCGCCGCUUCACCUCUUCUGAAGCGAAACAAGUUGAACUAGGGGCAUAACAGUCUACGAAAAUGUGUAAUCGCCGAAAAAUAAUUUUCAAAUGCAAGAAACCAUGAAAAUGGCAUUGCAGCGAAUACCCAUGGUUUGGGAGUGGUAUUCCAGCGAAGCCCAUUUGAGCGAUGGUAGUCUAGCGAAGCCAAUUUUAUGCGAUGGUAGAUAUGCAAUUUUCUCAUCAGUGUGUGGUUUAAUGUAAUAAUUGUGCGACAGCAUUUCGCUCUCGUUAAUUUGUUAGCUAAUUUGUGCUUUAAAUAAAUUUGUGCUCUGAUUGUGUUUCACGCAGGGAUUAAGCUAUCUGAAAGGGGGGAUUUUUUGGGGUAACAGAAAAACAAAAUUUCCGGUUUCUAUCUCAGAUUUCAAACCAAAUGUUCAAACUAAAUUUGAAGUUGAACCAAAAAAAAAUUACGCUCAGAUUCGAGGGGAAAGAGCCUAACCAAGGAAAUCAGCCAUGUGCGCCACCGGCGAGGACGCAUUGCCGCCGCCGCGGCGGAUGUGGAGGCGCUGCGCCACCAUUCACGCCGCCAGAAAGGGUCGGAUUGGCGCCGGCGACCGGCGUCAGCGGCGGAGGAGGAGGCAACCAUGGCCAUGCCCCCUCUCGCGCCACCGGAGGGGAGGCCAAUGCGCCCCCAUGUGCGCUGCCGUGGACAGCAGGGGACGACGGCGAGGCCACCGCCGGGGAGGUCGCCACCAUGCCUUUCAUCGCGCUAUUUGGGAGAAGGGUUCGAGCAGCAUAUCAACAGCAAACCACAUGUUCACCUCCAAAAAUAAUCUUUCGAAAACAAAAAAAAACAAAAGACAUCCAGUUUCACUCUUGAAUGGAAUAUAUUGUAUAAAUCGUGGCAAAAUUUUCAGCACCAUUUCUUGCUAAAUUACAGAGGCUAUAUACAGCCACGCUAUGUACACAUCAGGUAACUGUCAUGCCCCAAACUAGCCCCGAACGGCGGCCAGAGUAAGGCGAUUCAAAUUAACCUGUAUGCCUGUACCAGUCCCAGAAAACAGAGCUGGUACAACAGGAAGAUAGAAUAUCACGACAACAGCGGUCUCUUUAUUAAGAGUAGAAUUACAAUCAAGGUUGGAACUGCGGACAGACCCCGAGUUCACAACAACAUUACAAAAGGCGGAAGCGGAAAGCGGAGACUAGCCUUAAGCCACAAGAAAAGCCUUGGGGAAAGGCCGAAACCCUACUACAGCUCGAAGUCUGCUUGCUCCUGGAAGAACUCUUCUUCAGCAGGGUCCACCUCCUCGUCUUCAAGAACUGGGGGGGUUAUUUAUAUAGAGCAAGGGUGAGUACGGAAGUACUCAGCAAGUCAAGGGAAUUAAGUGUUUGAUGCAAGCUUCGAAGGAGAGCCAGUUAUUUUUCGCGUUCGAUUUUAGUUUGAGACUUUCAGAAACCACUAAGUGAGUGCUUCUCAACGACACGGACGAGAGAGUGCGUCUCAUCCGGUCGGAGCAGUGAAAUUGCAUAGAUUGAUUCUUGCCGGCACGAGAGGCUCCCUGCCAAUCGUUCACCAACACCGGCUGUACCAACAGCCACACGCGAGAGGCUCCCUGCCAAUCGCUCACCAACACCGGCUGUACCAACAGCCACACGCGAGAGGCUCCCUGCCAAUCGCUCACCAACACCGGCUGUACCAACAGCCACACGCCAAACACUGAACAGCGAUCUCACACCAACAGCAGUUCACCAAGUAAUUAGUAAAACUACGCUAAGGAAUCACCUCACAUCCGCCCAUGACCGUGGGCACGGCUGUUUGAACAGUUAAUAACCUCUGCAGAGGGGGUACACUUUACCCACAAGACGUUACUAACCCGGGUCACCCAGCCCGUGCAGAACAGCCACGACUGGUGACCUUGAGGCUUUCACGACAAGGCAUUUCGAAAGCCAACUCAGGGUCAUCUUAUGCCAACGGGAGGGGUCCCACGGACAAACACCAGGUUAGGUCCCAGACCAAAUUGUGCCAGGAAGCCCAGGGGUCCUCCCCGACACUACCCCGGCAAAUCCACUUGUCCCUUGGCAUCAAGAUUUCUCUGGCCUAGCUAGUUACUCAGCCAGGGGUGUCCCAUAUCACCCAUGUGGUCGUACUUGACAUAUGCUCGGAUGUAAUUCCCAAGGAAUCGGUUCUUAGAGCGAGAAUGGGAAGACCGCACCUCCAGCACGUCUCCCGCACCGCGAGUUUUGGAAACUCACUUAAAUUUUCAAGGCACCGACCCAAGUGUCGGGUUUUCCAACCAUUUUGUAAACUCCAGUUUUACCCAGUUGAUCACUUUUAAAUUUGAGGGGAGCCUCGGUAUUCGUGUUCAAUAAUCAAAGAAGGUAAAUGCAGCAAUUGGGUAAGGCCUGCCAGCUAUAUUGCAAACCGAGGCCAAGUGUCCAGUGUACUCCUAGGAAGGCAUAGUUGCAGAAUCAAAAUACUUAAUUUCAAAAUUAUAGGUUCAAUUGAUCAAAGGUGACUUGCCUUGCUCGAGAUCUUGAGCUUCUUCUUCAAAAUCCGCGCACUGCGGGUCUUCAGGCUCUGAAACUACACGCGAAACGAGGUGACUCAAAACAACGAUAAAAAGAAGCCCUAUUAAGGACCACUAAGCGUGCCAUUGGAUAGAUCUCGAUUUCUGAGGAAUUUUGGAAGUUAAACGAAGUCAAUCGGACGAACGGUUGAGAAGAUAUGAAUUUUCGAAGAUUAAAUGAUUUUCUGUCUAAAGGAAAAGGAAUUAUUAAUUCCCUUGAAAAAGAAAAAGAAGGGAGGGACGUGAAUUGGACUUUUUUUUGGGCGGCUAGGCGUGGCCCAACGGAUUAACGUGGGGCGACCGAACUAAUGGGCCGGCGCGCGAAGGAAUGGCCCAAGGCCGAGCGAGGGAGGCCGAUGGGCCGAGCGGCCGAUGGGUGGGGAGGCCGAUGGGCCGAGCGGCCGAAGGCCGAGGCCGAUCGGGGGAGGGAGGCCGAUGGGCCGGAGGAAGGCGGCCGAGUGGGCCUAAGCAAGCCGCGGCCCAUGUGGACGGCUGGAUCGGUGGACCGUGGUCCACCGAGCGGGUGCUAGGGCGAGACCCGCCCGGCAGUAACCCGGUGCGCGUGAACCGGGCGCACGAAAGAGGCGAGGCCGUCGGCGCUCGCGUGGGGCCUAUGUGGCUGCCACGGAGGCCGGUGGGGAGGAGAAAGGGGAGAGAGGGACGAGCCCGCCCGGGAGCGGACGGCUCUCGGCGGCGCUACGGCGAGCGGCUUAUCCUGGCGAACGGCGGCGAGAAGGAGGGGAAUGCGGGCACCGGUGGCUAGAGGAGGAGGAGGGGAAGCGAGCCAAUGGCUCGGAUCGGACCGCAGGGGCGUGAUGGCGGCCGGCGACAGCGCGAGGCGGCGGCGGCAACGGCGGCGCAGGGAGGGGGCAGAGGAGAGGGCAGCGUCCACGGCAGCGCGGGGAGACGGGUUCUUCGGAGCUACCGGGUGCCUAAGCCGAGGAGAAAGGGGAGACGGGGGGAGAAGGAGGUUACCGCGGAGGAGGGGGAGCUCGCCGGGGAAGGCCGACGGCGUGGGGAGUGGUAUCGGCGUGGCUCCGGGCCGAGGGAGAGGAGGAGGAGGCGGGGCCGGGGUCCUCUCCUCGCGUCCUUGGCUGCAGCGGCGGAUGGCAAGAGCGGAGGUGGCACGGCGCGGCGGGUUGGAGGGGAUGGAGCUCGGCGGCGGACGGCAAUGGCGGCCGAGGGGGAGGGUUUAAAAAGAAAAGGCGAGGUCGGUACGAGCGGAGGCGGUUCACAGAGAGGGGCAGAGGUGGUGGAGAGCGGGGGAGGGGGGCCGGCGCGCUAGCGGCCGAGCGGCGGCAGCACGGUGACGUCGGCCGGUCAGGGGAAAGGAGAAAAAGGGGAGGGGAAAGGGGCGCGGCCCUCUUGCCGAUUCGGGCAGGGUGCGCAGGGAGAGAAAGGAGGGCGCGCGCUCUCCCUUCCUUGGCGGCACGCGUGCAGGGCGGCGGGGCUGGGAGCGGCGGACGCUGGCGAAACGGGAUGGAGGGAGAGAGAGAGAGGAAGAAAUGGCGACGGAGAACGACGCGGGGAAGAGAGAGAGAGCGCCCGCUCUCUCGAGCGGGCGUGCGGAGCACGUGCACGGCGCGCCCCGCACUCGGGCCACGCGGACCGGGCCGAGCUGCGCGGCCCAGCGGGAGGAAGGAGGCCAAGCGAGCAGCUGGGCCGUGCGGCGGCCCGAGAGGGAGGAGAAGAAGGGACAGCAGGCCGAAGGAGAGGGGAGAGGGGACUGGGCCGGGAGCGGCCCGGGAGAAAAAAGGGGCCGGUGAGAAAGGAGGGGGCGACUAGGCCAGACGGCGGCCCGAGAAGGAAGAAAGGGGGAGGGAAGUAGGCCGAGAGGGAAACGGCCCGAGGAGGAGGGGGGUAAAGCAGACUUUCUCUGAAAAUUUGGAUUGGAAGGAUUAGGGUUCGGAUUUGAAUUCCGAUUUCGCGAUUUUCUCCGGGAUUGAGACAAGAAGGGAAACACGAGAUCCAGGCACACAACAAGACUCAACUGAAGAACAAAAUUUUCGCAAAUAGAGUUUUUAGAAAUUAUUUUUCCCGCUAACGCCACGACAAAACGGGCGUUACAGUAACUACCCUGCCACUAGCGAAGAAACGAUUUUUAACACCGGCUGAAAACCCUCUUUAGUACCGGUUAUAGAACCGUGAUUAGCAAAUCAGGACUAAAGAUCUCGAUCUUUAGUAGAUCUUUAGUUAACCGUGAUUAGCAAAUUGGGACUGAAGAUCUCAAUCUUUAGUAGAUCUUUAGUACCGUAAAGAUCAAAAAAGAUGUAUACGAUAUGGGAUUCAAACUCAAAAUAUCUCCCCUCAACCCUCACACACAUUACCAUCCCACCUACCACACAUACAUCUGACUUGAAUAAAGAUGUUUUCUUUUUGAAUUAACCCUGGAGACAUUUUUAGUCCCGGUUGGUAACACCAACCUGGACUAAAAAUCCUCAAUCUUUAGUCUCGGUUGGUGUUACCAACCGGGACUAAAAAUGUUUCGAGGGACUUAGACUUUUAGAACCGGUACUAAAGCAUCUUUAGCACCGGUUCGUUAAACACCCGAGAUAUUUGUUAUUUUUGCCGAUCGAGCAAAGAUCAGUUGUCCAGUAGAGUACAUAACACAUCAAGCAUGUACUAGCUACCAAGAACACUGCUACCUUGGAUUAAUUUACAGAAGUUGUGCUCAUUGAUUGUUCUGCUACCUCAGAUUUACAACAAAUGUGUUUACAUGAUCAUUGCUGCAUCAUCUAGUGUUGUAGUUUUCUAGUUCUCAUUUCCCUGGAGUAAUGUCACUCCUUUGUUAAAAUUUUCUACUUCUCAUUUCCCUACAGUAAUGGCACACACCUUUCAGUUGGAGUGCUGGGGAUGAAUUGGAUGAACCCUCGGCCGCAAACACCGGCCUCACAAAGGCGUUGUUGAACUUGUGCCAGUAAUGGUUGGAGGGAAGUGGCCCACUGUGCUCUCCACAUAAACUGACUGACCAUUCAUGUUACAUCCCAAUCUGGCACCAUCGUAUAACGGCACCUGAUAGGAGCGUGUCGUAGGAAAACAACGUGAACCGCUUCCUAUGAAACUGCGAUAUUGGUAUCAGUCCCAGGACAUAGCGCUGGUACCCACGGUGACAAUUAUGAUUCAUUGCAAUCCUUAAAAUUAAAUAGAGGACUUAUUUACCUUGACUUAGGUUGCAACUCUCGAGAGAAGCUCGAGAACGCAACAGACGACGUAGAAGCAGCAACAGCAGAAGCAGAGGCAGCGAAAACCAACGAACUGACACCCAACACCAUAGGCAACACUGGGAACCAGGACGAAACCCUAAUCUUCACUUCACUUCGACUUCACCUUCAGAGCUGACAGGCUAUAUAGAGCAAGGGUAAGUACUUCCGUACUCAGCAAGCCAGGGGAAUUUAGGUGGUUAAGGCAAGCUGCAAGGGAAGGCUGUUUAUUUUGCAAUCGGUUUUGUUUUCAAAUUUUGAACAAUCUAAGUAUGUGCUUUCCCGCAAUCAGAGCGAGACAAGUCUCAGCUUGGUCCGGAAGUGAGAAGUAACAAAUUUUAUUUUCAAGUUUGCACAACUCCCAGAGUUGGCCUCAAAGCUGGUAUCCCAAACCAAACCAAUUUUCCAACCUUUCAGAUAAAUGCGGUCCCCAAACAACCAAUUACUUCCAGGGACUCCGUGUCCCACUGUCUCCCUGACAGCCACUUGCUUCCCAAGCAUCAGGUUUUCCAAACCAGAUCACCUCAUAUCCACCCAUGACCAUGGGCAUAGUUGUUCAAACAGUUUGUUAACCUCUGCAGAGGGGGUACACUUUACCCACACGACGUUACUAACCCGGGUCACACAACCCGUGCAGCGCAACCACGUCUGGUGACUUCGAGGUUUUCAUGACAAGACAUUUCAAAAGCCGACUCAGGGUCACCUUAUGCCAAUGGGAGGAGUCUCACAGACCAACACCAGGUUAGGUCCCAGAUCAUACUGUGCCUAGAAGCCCAGGGGUCCUCCCCGACACCACCCCAACGAAUCCACUUGUCUCUUAGCAUCAAAAUUUCCCUGGCCUAGCUAAUUACUCAGCUAGGGGUGUCCCAUUCACCUAUGUGGUCGCACUUGCUAUAUGCUCGGAUGUAAUUCCCAAGGAAUUGGUCCUUAAAAGCGACCACACAAGCAUUUUUCUUUCAUAAGGCACCGACCCAGGCGUCGGGUUUUCCAAAGCUUUCAUAAAUCAGGUUUUACCCAAAAUAUUCUUAGAUUUUAAGUUUGAAGGCGACCUUCGAUAUUCGCACAAGAUGCAUGAAUACCGAGGUGCCACACAAGUUGUUACACGAGAACAUGAGAUAACAAUUAAGAAAGGAAGGAUCAAAUGCAACAAGUUAGGUAGGCCCACCGAUCUGCCUUGCAGAUGAGGCAAACAGUUCCAGUGCAAUCCUAACAAUGCAUAAAUAUUUUGCAAGAAACAUAAUCAAGUUCAAAUAUAGGCUCAAUAUUUUCAAAGGUGACUUGCCUUGCUCAAGGUCUUGAGAUUCAUGAAUCUUCCAGAAAUCCACGCUUGGACGAAAAUCCGAGAAUCGCAACUAGGCGCAAACAAACAAAACCCAAACAAAGGACCAAAGAAAAGCUCCUAUUUAUACUAAUUAAUAGUGCCAUUAGAUAGAUCACAAUUUUACGGAAUUACUGGAACUGGAACGGGGUCAAACGGAGGUACGGAACAAGAGAUAUGAAUUUUGAAAGAUUUAGUUGAAUUUUCUGGAAUAACGGGAAAGAUUUAUUGAAUUUAUAGAAAAGAAUAUUCUCACAAUCACUGACAUGCGGGGUCCACAUGUCAAUGGGCUAGAGGCCGGGGGGCACCAUGGACUUGGUCCAUGGACAACUAGCGCGGGUGAGGGAGUGAAAGAGGACUCUGUUCACGGGCCUCAACAGAAAUAGCCACAGAUUAAGAGGGGGAUGGGAAGUAGACUUUGGCCCAAUGGUCCAAGAGAGUGAGCCAUGGCCCAAUCGGCCAGUGCGAGGGCGCAGCCGAGCUGGGAGCAGGGAGUUGGGGCGAUGCACGCAGGCAAGGGAGGCAUGGGCCGACGCGGCUACAUGGCCCAGCGGGAUAGCGUGUGCGCGUGAGCGAGGGCGAAGUGGAGCGGCCGACGAGGGCAAUGAGACGGUUGACCGGUUGUGUGCGGGUCCCACCAGGCCGAGCUGGCGCCGACGUGGUAGCCAUGCUGGCAGAGGCGAGAGGGGAGAGGGUCGGACCGAAGAUCGAACGGCCCACGGCGAUGCAACAGCGCCGGCGAACAGCAGUGAACCAAAGGUAGCGACUGGCUCGUGCGGCUAGAGGAGACCAAGGAUAGUUGAUUCAACGGCUCAGAUUUACUGGGAGAGGAAUGACGGCGACCGAAGGCGGUGGCAGAGCUCACCAGAGCGGGUCGCGUGACGGCGCUAUGCGGUGGUGAAAAAAGGCAGCGCGGCACAGAGACAACACAAAGGGGAAACGACCUCGGCGGCUCUCUAGGAUGCUUCAAUUUGAUGGGUGGCCACGCAUGGAAUCAAUACUACUGCUGAUAGUCUCAACCGGAAUUGGGGCUGAUUGGAGAUCAGAAGCGGUGAUGUUGCUAGCGACUGCCAUAGGUUGACGAACAGGUUGGAGGGGUGUCCUUUGAUCUUCCUUGGUCUUAGCUGGGACCACAUUCAAUUGGCAGUUCUUAGGCACAUGAUCUGUUCCCUCGCACAAGAAACAUGUGAUGUUCCUCGUAGGGCAUUCAUCUGGCGGGUGGGUGUCUUCACCACAGGGGCAAGUGUAAGAGCAUGUGUGAGUAGUAUGUCCAAUUUCUCCGCAUCUGGUACAUGCUUUGAACUUUAUUUCUUUUUCACCUUUAAGGAUCUCACCAUCAUCUUCAUCGUCAUCAUCAGAGGACACUUCUUCGAAUCCAUCCUUAUCGGGCUUAGGCGGACCAUACAGCCUAAGUUGUUGAGUUAGCUGAUGGGCACCAUGGGAGGUGUUUCCUCUCAGACGCCUAGGUAUCUCUGCCGCAUCUUCUGGAGUAAAUUCGGAACCAGUGAUGGUUAGGUUCCUACCAUCGUCCAUCUUCCAUACUAAUGUCUUCCUCUUCUUAGAGUUUGAUGGUGGCGUACCAUAGUUUCUGUAGGUAAGUUGACUUGGACGUUUCUCUUCUCUUGGGCAUUGUGCCUUACCGUCAGUUGGUGUCCUGGUAUACACGUUCCAGGGACAAUUUGUCGCACGAUGACCUUGUUCCUCACAAUCCUCACAGAUAACAUUUGCUUCUUUCCGGUAUGAGAGUGAUGGAGAUGCAUUCGUCUGGUGGGAUCUUAGCAGUAUAUCGGUAGGAGGCGUAGGUGCUUGUAUUGGAACACACUGACUUUGGCUCUGAUUCAGACUCUGGGCUUGUAUCUGAGCUUGCAUCUGUUGUUGCUGAUACUAUCGUUGCAUCUGUUGCAUUAUCAUAGCCAGUAUUUGCGUCUGGUUAGCCACCACUUGUGCUAGGGUUGGGUCCCCGAAUGGUGGAGGCGAAAUGUCCACGGGGUUGCUUGGGAUUACUCCAUGAAACUGUUACGAUCCUGAUCCACUGCCAUUGUCCCUGACGUUGACCAUCUGUUGCAGGUAGAGGAGGAAAAUGAGAUUGGUUGAACUAAAGGCCAGACCUUAACCCACUUAGCUACUGAUCUGAUGUGAGUACACUCUUACUGUUCAAGUUGAUUAGGCAGACAACCUACUAUGGUCACAUCCCCACCACUGAUGUAAACCAUACACCUGCACACAGCAAACAACACACGAUCUAACGACUACCGAUACUACUCUUCUGGGAAGGAUUGGGUUUAGGUAAGCCCUAGAAAAACUUCGCUCGAACCUCAAGAACGCUGACUCUGGACUGCUCAUCUUGAUCCUUGCUUGAAGCUUGGCUCUUAGCUUGUCCUUUAUGGGGUUUUCAGUUUGUGCUCCGGGCUUUAGAAGCUAGAGAGCUGGAGGGGAAAGAACAGAAAUUUGAUAAACUGUUUUGCAAAGACUCCUGAGGGAGGGAAGAGACAUUUUCGCAGAUAAGGUUUUCGCAAAACUUGUCCUUAGGGGUUUGACCGUUUGGCUUGACCUACAGUCAAGAUGGCUCUGAUACCAACUUGUCAGGCUCGGAAAUUUUCCCAAAUUUCCAGACCAUAUUGUGUAUUAAGUCCCUGUCCAGGCAUCAACCAGGGUACACAAAACGACAAAUCAAUAAACAGACCCAUAUGUAAAUAAAGUGAUAAAUACAUAUGGGAGAGGCACUUAGUCCUCACACCGAAAAGAAAACAGUAGUGGAAAGAGGCGAUCCUAGCGGGGCUUCAGCUACACUCCACAGGCAAACUCAACUGGGGUCUGAGCCUUGGUCCUCUAACUUCAACUUCAACUCAGAAGUACUAAACUUCUGAAAAGGGGGAAAAAUAGCAAGAUUGAGUACAACCACCGUACUCAACAAGCCACACCAAAGAUGCAAACGUGCAAAGGGGAGACAGAGGGAGGCUUGUGGCUUUUUGCAGAAAAGCGGUUGCAAAUCUUUAUGUUUUAAAACAGUAAACAGUUGUUUAAUUAUGAUAGGAUUAAAUCUCCACUAGACAAUGCUACAACCACGUUGCACAGGCCCAACCAUUCCACCUAAACUACAACAGUUUAUUAAGUCAAAUUAAUUAAGCAUGUGGGACUAAUCACGGUGAAUCUGGUUGAUCGCCCAUAACCGCGGGCACGGCUAUUUGAAUAGUUUUACUCUGAUCAGAGAUGCGCAACUGUACCCACAAGACACGAUUCCACACAUGUUACCAUGCCCCGAAGUAUCACCACGAUACUGCAAAGGGGGAAAUCGUGACAAGACCUUUCGCAUAACUCCUCCUAACCAAGCGCACCAGACCGUAGGUUUCGCCCCCGCUCCUUUACCAGCAGCGGGCAGCCCCCCCUUGUGCCAUGGUGAAUCCGGCAGCCGAUCAACCGGUAUAUCCCCAGCUGACCCAACUCCAUCACGCACACCCUUGCCGGGGAGCGUCAGCUAGGAAAGAGCUAUGUUACAAAUCCAGCAGUUGCCCAUUCUUGCUUGUGGUAAGCACUGUUAUUCUUCCAGGGUUUCCCAUGAACCGGUCCUUAAUUGCCAUGGGUGCGACCAGCAAAACCAUGCACCCACAGCCCACCAUUAAGUCAUAUUUUAGUUGGAUAAUUACGACCAAUAAAACAUGGUCGGGUGUCUCGAGCGAACAGCUCGUUAGAGGCUAAGGUGAACAGUGUAAUUGUUCCAUUAAAUGAGCUAGUGGUAAUUAAGCAUAGCUAAGCAUAUAUAAUUCUAGCAAAGUCAACAUAAGUGACUUACGCUAGUCAAAUUAUCACCCACAGUUAACAAAGGACGGUUUAACAAGUAAACAUAGCACAAGCGGAUGGAUAGGUAAACCCUAUUCCCAUGUAAUUAGCAAAACAUGCACUUUAUUUGCAAACGUAAAACAUUUCGUAAAAUAGGUACAACAUGCUCAAGAGGGAAAUGUGUGACUUGCCUUGCUUCUCCAAACAAUCUUCCGGACCUCUUUCCUCGCGAGCGCGAACUUCGAAACGGCGGAAUCUACACGCUGACACGCACAAAGAGGAAAAACUCUAAUAAAAACCAAAUAAACAGUACAUAAAAAGUAAACAAACAUGUAGAUCUCAAUUUUAGAUGAAUGUUGCAAGUUGAAUGGCUCAAUUUGGAGUUCGUAUGAAUUAGAUAUGAAUUUUAGAAGUUUUGAGCCAUUUAAAUGAAUUUCUAGAAAUUAAAUCGAUUUAUUGCGCAAUUAUUAAUUAAUUUUAUGAAGGAAAGGACUACGCUGACAUCAUCAAAGGGAAUCGGCGCCGGAACGGUGGGUCCCACGUGUCAAUGGGUCAAGGGGCGGCUGAUCCACGGUGGACCAAGUCCACGCACGCACAGGUGCGGACGCACCACGUGGCACUGACGUGGCGGCCACAGCGGAUGGACGGCAGAAGGUAGCGCCGACGUGGACGCCAACGCGGCGAAGCAGCGGGCGGCCACGUGGUCUGGGCGUGGACCGGAUUAAACAAAAGGGGGCCCACGCGUCGGCGACACGAGCAUCGGCGAACCGAAGAGAAAAAGGAGGUGAAAAGGACUUUGCAGGGGAAAGGGGAAAAAUUGGGUUGAGAGGGAGGUAAACUAGACUUGUGCAAAAAGGGAAAUGGAAAUGAGCCAAGGGAGGUAAUUUGGACUUGGGAAGAGGCCGAGGAGGUGAACUGGACUUCCUCGGGAAAAGAUAAUGGGCCGAUGGUCCAACGAGGAAAUGGACGAGGGACGUGAAAUGGACUUCUCGCGAUGGGCGGCGCCAAUCGGGCCGGUGACCCAAAAGGAGGAGGGACGCAAAAUAGACUUUCGCCAGGAGUAAGGUCAAUGGGCCCAACGGCUGCUGGGCCGGAGGGAGUGGUGGGCUGUCCCGGGUGCGGCCUCUACGGCCGAGGCGGGCGGCUAGGGUUCGACCGAACCCUGUGCGGGAUGCGGCGGAAGGAGGAGGGGAAGAGAGGGGGAACGGGGUGCUCAGCGAGGGCGCGGUGACACGGAAGCGUCGGUGGCGGCCGGGAAAGAGUGUCGGCGGCGACGCCUCGGGACGGCGGUGUGCGGCGGCGGCGCACGGGGCAGGGCGGCGCUCCAAGGCGGCGGCUCGAGGCGGCGCUAGGGUUUGGGAGAAGGCGGCGCAAGGGGGAAACGAGAGAGGCGGUGGCGCUUGGGGAAAAUAAAUAGGGGGGCCGAUUAGGGUUGACCGCGCGGGCGGAAAACCCGCCGGAAAACGCGGCGGCGCGGGCACGGCGGUCAUCGGAAAUGGCGCGGUUGACCCGGCGGAGGUUGAAGAAGGGAGUAUAUCCAGACUUCGCGUGGGCUGGGCCGGAAAGGGGGAGAGGGGAGCCGAACGGGCCAAGGCGGCCUUGGGCCGAGGGAGAGAGGAAGGAGGGAGGGACAUGGCCCGUGGGCCGCGCGGGAGGGAGAGGGGAGAAGGCCGCGUGGGUCGCAGGAGAGAGAGAGAGAAUUUUGGGCCGAAAAUGGCCUAAAACAAAAGGGACCCUUUUUAAUUUGUUUUUCAAUUAAUUUAAUCAAUUAAAUGAACUUUGUGACUUUAAAAUUAUUUCUUUAGCUCCAAAAAUUCACGAAAAAUUUUGGAGAGUACUUUAGGCCACAGGGAAUAUUACAAAAAUAUUUCCGGCCAUAAUUUUUAAAGGAAAAUUUUGAUUUCCUUGCUAAUUUCACUUGUUUAAAUUGCUUUUAAUUUCUAUUUAAUUUCUGGAAAAUGUAUUAUUAGGCAAUUUUUACUCCCGAUCGAAAAUCGAGACGUGACAGUGGCACUGGACGGAAUCGUGGAGAGGCUGUCGCGACGGUGGGGGUGGCACGACGCCAAGACGGCGCGCCGGAGACAAAGGUGAUGGCACACGGGAUGGAUCAUGGUCACCAGCACCGAGGUUGAUGAGUGGCGAUGACUGGUUGCGAGGAAGAAGGCGGCAGGGCUUCGCCUCUUUGAAGCACGAAGCAAGAGGAGGAGAAAGAAGUCCCCGGGUCGUAUUUAUAGGCGAGGAGGGCGCACGCGAGCUUUUGCUCGGCUGGCGAUGGUGGACGGUGUCGGCGUUUUCGCGAGCGGCGCAAAAACGGGCGACAGCGCGGAUGUGAGGGACGGUGGGGGUCGGUGGAUCAAGCAGCCGAAAUUGAACGUGGGAGGCGGGAGGAGUAGCGCGGCAAGCUGGCGCUUGGUCAAGGUGGGGCGCUGGGUGGCAAAGGCGGCGUCAGCAGCUUUGUGUCCACGGCGCAAGAAGCCAAGCGACGACAGGGAAAGGGUGCUCCGCUGGAAGAAGAACAAGGAAAAAGGUGAAGGAUAAAGGGAGCUCGGUCCUUGCCGCUUUGGAAGGAAGGAGAGGCACGGACACGGGAAACGGCGAGCGGCACAACCAAAAUCAAAUGGCGGCGGCGCAGUUGUUUUGGCGAGAGAAAAAGAGAGAGAAAAGUGAGCGUGCGGCGGCGUGAGGGAGGAGGCGCUCCUGCUCUUGGCACAUGUGGUGCACGUGGCUGGGGAGAUGGACCGGAGCGGACUAGGCUGGGGACAGCGCGGCUUGAUGGAGAAGGAGAGCGGCGCGAGGGAGAUGGGCGGGCGGGGUGAUGGGUCGAGGACGACGCGGUUUGAUUGGGCCGAGAGAGUGAAGGCGAGCCAGGCGGGAAAAAGGAGGAAUAGAGGGAAUGGGCUAGCCGAGGAGAGAACGGCGGCCCAAGAGGAAGGAGAUGAUAUAGACUUUUGCUGAAAGUUUUCUUUAAGGAAUUUGAGGGGUAAUUGAAGUGGGAUUUGAAUUUAAAUUUCAUAUUUGAACUCAGGAGGAAUAGGGAGGAUUGACAUCUUGGAGUUGGAACGAAUAUCUGGGAAGGGAUUCAAAGGGGAGAUGAAAAAGGGGACCUUGGGAAGGUGGGUUCAAUGGUGGAGCAAUAUUCGAAUUGGAUCAAAUAUUCGGAUAGGUUUCAAAGGGAAAAUAAUAUUCGAGAAGGAAUUUAAGAUAGAUAAAUAGAUAGAUAGAUAGAGAGUGAGAGAGAGAAAGAUGAAACUUAAGAGUUUGGAUUCAAACUCGAGAAUUGAUUUUAGAGAUGUUUAUUUUGUAGCAAGGAUUUGAAGAUGACUUGAACAUCGGUUCAAAUAUUCGGAGAGAUUAUUGAACUUGGAUGAUUUUGGAAAAAAUGUCAAAUGAGAUUUAAGAGAGAAAUUCAAUUGCAGAGAUUCGAAUUCGAGAAUCAUUUUUAGUGAACCAAGGGAAGAGUUUAGGAUUUACGAGGUUGAUGCUUGGACUAUAUUGAAUUCAAGGAUAUUCAACGGAACUUGCAGUUCAAGUUUCAGGAGCGAAAUCCGAAUACAAAGGUUCGAAAUUCGAGACUAGUUUUGAAUGAAAACUUUGAGAGGUCGGGUUAGAAGUUCGGAUUUGUCAAAUUUGAGAUUUGCAAUCAUGGAACAUUCGCAAGUACAAAUCGGGAAUGAUUUGAGCGUGGACUCAAAUAUGAAUUGGAAUUAUUUGAAGGGAGAUUUCUUGAUAGAGGUUUAGGAAGGAGAUUUUCAUACGAAGAUUCAAAUUCUCAAAUUAUUUUGGAACGAAAAAUUUAAGGAGGCAAUUUUGACAACAGGGAAUGGAGACAAAAGAGGGAUUUAAAUUGAGAUCUACGGCACAAGUUAGACUCGACACUCAAAGAACAAAAUUUUCACAUAUAGGAUUAUCUUAAAUUAACUUUUUAACGCCACACGAAAAUCGGGGUGUUACAAUUCAAUUCACAAACCAAACUUACCUUACCAAACUUAAAACUCAAAUCAAAUUAUGGUAAGGACUUCAAACAAAACUCAACACUCAAAAUUGGACAUGCCAAAAUUUAGUUGGGUUGGUUUGGGCAACAACCAAACAAGCCCUUUGUCCAUGGGUUUGGUUGCUUGGUUGUUCCUUUACUUGCAUGCAUGGUGUGAGAGGAUGGAGAGAUAGGCGGAGAUAUAUAGUAAUAAAGAGAAUAAAAGAAAAGGAGGUGUCGAAAACAUUUUGAUCCCUUCAGGUUCAUCCGAUGCAUCACAUUCAAAUAGUUAUGAACAAAAAACUAUUUGACAACAUUCAUAUAGCGCCGUACAUAUACCAUAGCACGUACAUAUACCAUACCACAAGAUUUCAAGUAACAAAUAAACUCACAUGUCAGACAAAAAAUAUGCAAAUCUAGUAUAUAACAGUAGUUGUACUUUUCAGACUCAAAUUAGUACAUUUAUUUAUUACAUGCCUCCCUUGUAUUCAUGAUUUUCUGAUACCUCCCAAAUAAGACAGUACAAAAAAAUCAUCAUGCAUAUGUACGUCAUGUUCAUUAGUCAUAGUAUAGCAAAAUUCUGCAUCAAAUUAAAUCCUAUAUAUGUGGAUUAUCAUAAUUUGUCCUAGAUUAAUAUUUUAAUAUGAUAGUCCAGCGACAGAACAUGACCUAGACAAAAUUUUAUUAUAGUAGACCUUUCUUAUGGUUCUUGAGGUAAAGACCAUCACAAGUUUUAAUGUUAGUUUAUCGUAUCUUUUAUAGAUAUCUCCUCCGAACAAUAAAAAGCUAUAAUUAAAUCUUAAUUUCCAAGGAGUUAUUGUCACGCCCCAAACUUGCCCCGGACAGAAACCAGAUUGAGAUGAUCCAAAUUAACCUGUAAACCUGUACCAGUCCCAGGAAAUAGUGCUGGUACAACUGGAAGAAUGAAUAUCACAGCGUCAGAGGUCUUUUUAUUAAGAGUAGAGAUACAGUCAUUGUUGGAACCUCGGACAGACCCUGAGUUCGCAACUACAUUACAAAAAGGCAGAAGCAGAAACUAGCCCAAAACCACAAGCAUGACUUGGGAACUAAGCCGAAACCCUACUACAGCUCGAAGUCUGCUUGCUCCUGGAAAAACUCCUCAUCAGCUGGAUCCAUCUCCUGUUCUUUGAGUACUGGGGGAGGGGUUAUUUAUAUAGAAAAAGGGUGAGUACGAGGGUACUCAUAAAGCCAGGGGAACUUAUGUAUUAAAUGCAAGUUUCAAAGGAAGGCUGGUUAUUUUGGCAUUCAGUGAGUGCUUCUCAAUGACACGAAUGAGAAAGUGCGUCUCAUCCGGCCGGAGUAGUGAAAUAUAUUUGUUGCUUUCAUCUGCAUGAGUGUAACGUCCCGCCUCCACGAGGCCGGGCCCGCUUACAUCUAGCAGCUUACAUAGGACAUAAACUGCCCUCACAAACCAACACCACCCAUCCCUAGAUUUCUCCAGGCCAAGCACGCUUAACUUUAGAGUUCUUUGGAGAUGGGCUUCCAGAAAAGAAGUUGCAACUUGUUAACAUGAGUAUCCUAUCAAUCUUAUUAUGCCUUGGGCCGGGGUGUUACAUACUCACCCCCUUAAGAGAUCGACGUCCUCGUCGAUCAACCCCAAGCCAGGAACUCCCUCUCUUGGCCACGUCAGUGUGUCCAGUGCCAGCGCAUGUGCCAUGCUGUGUGACCACACCGGGUCCACACCAGCCAUGCGCACCAUGCCUGCGCAACUGCGACACACGCGCCCGUGAAACCGCGAGAGUCGGCUCUGAUACCAUACUGUAACGUCCUGCCUCCACGAGGCCGGGCCCGCUUACAUCUAGCAGCUUACAUAGGACAUAGACUGCCCUCACAAACCAACACCAGUCUUUUCUGCGCACUUCCCUAGAUUUCUCCAGGCCAGACACGCUUAACUUUAGAGUUCUUUGGAGAUGGGCUUCCGGAAAAGAAGUUGCAACUUGUUAGCAUGAGUAUCCUAUCAAUCCUAUUAUGCCUUGGGCCGGGGUGUUACAAUGAGUGGCUCCCUGCCAACAAGUACACAGACUUUCCGAGUCUUGCUGUUCUCGACAGCCACAAGACAAGCAUUGAAAGGAUUCCCUUACACCAACAUCAGUUCACAAAGCAGUAGUCAAGCAAAACUACGCUAAGGAAUCACCUCACAUUCGCCCAUGAUCGUGGGCAUGGCUGUUCGAACAGUUUUUUAACCUCUGCAGAAGGGGUACACUUUACCACAUGACGUUACUAACACGGGUCAUCCAGCCUGGGCAGCGCAGCCACGGCUGGUGACUUUGAGGUUUUCACGACAAGGCAUUUCGAAAGCUGACUUAGGGUCACUUUAUGCCAACGAGAAGGGUCCCACGGACCAACACCAGGUUAGGUCCUAGAUCAUACUGUGCCACGAAGCCCAGGGGUCCUCCCCGACGAAUCCACUUGUCGCUUGGCAUCAAGAUUUCCAUGGCCUAGCUAAUUACUCAGCCAGGGGUGUCCCAUUUUACCCAUGUGGUCGCACAUGUUAUGUUUGGAUGAAGUUCUGAAGGAAUCGGUCCUUAAGGCGAGAACGGGAAAACCAUACCUCCAGUAUGUCUCCCACACCGCGAGUUUUGGAAACACAUUUUAUUUUCAAGGCAUUGACCCAGGUGUUGGGAUUUCCAAAGAUUUUGCAAACCCAGGUUUUACCCAGUUGAUCAUUUUAAAUUUGAGGAGAGCCAACGACACUCAUACCUGAGGGUAGGAAUACUGAGGCUUAACAUAAUAGGCGACAAGGGAAGUUUAGGUCAUUCAAUAACCAAGGAGGUCAAUUCCAAUAAGUAGGUAAGGCCUGCCGGCUAUAUCGCAAACCGUGGCCAAUAAGUCAAGUGUAACCUAAAGAUGCAUAAUUUGAGAAAUGACUUACUUAAUUUUAAAUUAUGGGCUCACUUGAUCAAAGGUGACUUGCCUUGCUCGAGAUCUUGAGCUUCCUCCUCGAAAUCCAUGCACUGCGAGUCUUCGGGCUUUGAAGCUACACGCUAAACAGGGCGACUCAACAAAACAGUUAAAGAAAGCCCUAUUAAUGACCACUAAGCGUGCCAUUAGCUAGAUCUUGAUUUUUUAGGGAUUUUGAAAGUUGAAAGGAAUCAAUCGGAUGGACAGUUGAAAAGAUAUGAAUUUCCUAAGAUUAAAUUAUUUUCUAUCUAAAGGAAAAGAAAUUAUUAAAUCCCUUGGAAAAAGGAAAAGAAAGAGGGACGCAAUUUGGACUUUUCAGCCGGGCACAAGGCGUGGCCCACUGCAAAGCACAAACGCGCCCAAGCGAAGCGGGCCAACGCGCGAGGAAGGCAGCUCGUGGACGACGCGGCGCAGAGAGAGGCCGAACGGGCCGGAGGGGAGAUGAGGCUGAGUGGGCCGGAUCGUGGCGCUACCCACGCGGGCGUGGCGCACACGAGGUGGAUUGGUGGACCACGGUCUAUCGCGCGGGGUCCUGAGUUGGGGCCCACCUAUCAACGACGUGGGUUCACGAGAACCGGGAGCACGGAGGGGGUAACGCUAGGGCUAGGUGGACUCGGUCCGGAGUUGGUGCACCGGGUGGAUAGGGGAUGGUGGGUCCACGCACAGCCUCUCGGCUCCCGUGGACCACGCGCACUGAGUAAGGGAGAGGGAGGCGACGUGGCGCCAACGUGGCCGCCACGGUGGAGGGCGAGAGGAAGAAGACGAUGGCGACGACAUACAACGGCGUGCGGCAGCAGCAAGCUCCGGGACGACGUGGCGUGAGUCUGACGAGGGGGAGGGCACUGGAGCGAAGGGCGACACAAGAGGAAGCGAGCCAACUGCUCGGAUUUGCUGGAGGAUGAUCGACGACGACAAAUCGCGGCGCACGUCGCUGGCAGCAGAAGAAGGGAUCCUCGCCGGAGUGGUUAGAGGCCGAUUCAGCGAUGGGGGAUCAUCUACACGAGUCCACGGUCUCGUUCUGAGCGAUGGGACGGGCGGCGCCACACCGGAGAGCGAGGGCGGCGGCGCGCGAAGUUCGGCACCGAACGGCGGCGAAGCAGCAAGCGAAGGCGAGCAAACGGCGGUGUUAAUGUCUUCUACGAGCACGGGUAAACGGCGGCGAGCUAGUCUACGGCCUAGGGGAGGAAAGCGACGAAGGGAGAGGGACGGAGGGAGUACUGCGACGGGGAGGCGCCGUGAAGAGCGGCCGAUGGCGCAGGACGUGAUCAUCUCGGCCUCGGGCUGAGGGAGAGGAGGAAGAUGGCGCCCGGAGUCCACGUCUCGCGUCCACAGGCGCUGGCGAUGAAUGAUGACAGCAAUGGCAAUGGUGUAGCGGUGGAUCGGGUGCUUAUGGCAGUGGAGGAGGAGGAGGCCGAAAAGGGGGGGUGACGAUGGAAUUUAAAGGGGCUCCGGCUUGGCUUCGAGGAGUAGGGACUCGGGCGCGGUCUCGCGAGGAAACACGCGGUCGCCGGCGCUACGCUCGAGCGGCGGCAGUGGCGCCGGUCACAUUCUUUGGCUCUACCUAUCCAUUAUAGAGUAAAUAGCUCUUUUCACAAUAAGAGUUAUCCAUACAGUGAUGGCAUUUAAUUAUUAAAGUUGGCUAAGUAGCUGAGAAAGGAAAAAGGAGAGAAGAGAGGGAGAAAGAGGGAGUGGACUUUGUCAUCUUGGGCGGAGCGGGAGAGAGAGGGCAAGCUCCGCCUCUCCAGCUUGGACGCUAGCGGCUUGGAGUGGCGUGAGCAUAAGGUCCCAUGGCAGCGGUGGCACUGGAGAGAGAGGGAGAAGAGAAUGCGGUGCGUGAGGGAGAGAGAAGGAGACGCGCACGGGCUGGGUCGGCGCUCUACCGCGGCAAGUGCGGCGCACGUGCCCGAGAGCAGGCCAACGCGGAUCGGGCCAGCGCGGCCCAAAAGGGAGGGAAAGGCUGAGGGGAGAGGCGGCGAAGAUGGGCCAGCCGAGAAGAGGCGGCUCGAGAAAAACAGAGGGAGGAAAACUAGACUUUUUCUGAGAAUUUGAUUUGGAAGGACUUGGAGUUUGAAUUUGAAUUUUGAGUUGGAACUUUUUCAGCGGGAUUUGAGCAAGGAGCAGUGAGAGAGAGACAAGACCUUAGCACACACGAAGCAUGACCGAAGAACAAAUUUCAUAAUUAGGGUUUUUAAUAAAUCGGUUUUCUCGCUAACGCCACGACGGAACGGGUGUUACAGUUAUACACCGGUGCAUUCGAUGGAAGUAGAUCCUCUGAUGUGAACUUGCCCCUGACAUCACUCACACGUGGGCCAAUGAGCGGUGGGGCCCACAUGGUCAGCGACCAUGCCCCUUUGACAUAAAGUUAGAGGAUCUCAAUCCGCAUUGGUUCUUGUAAUAAGCUGUCAAAAAUUAAUGAAGUAGCAGUACCUCCUAGACUCAGCUAGCUCCAGCUACCUCUCAGUAAUAUGGGUAAUGUAAGGAAAAAGAAUACUGUCCUUCAUAAGACAAAGUUGCAAGCAAGAAUUGAUCUGCAGACAACCAAAGCAAUAAAAGGAUAAAAAAUAAAGAAGUAAAGAGCCGGAUGACAGUGCUCCAAAGAGAGAAGUAAUCAAAGGAAUAUCAUUCCUUGAAAGAAAGAAGUAAAGAGAAUUAAAUAUAAUGUGCGUGCAUUGCAGGCCAAAUAAAGCAUUGGGAUCCAAUGCCAUCAGUUUCCUCAAGGCUAGGACAAGGGAAAUAUUCCCUUAGUUAUCUUGUCAUGCAGCAACAAGCAGCAUGGAAUCAAGUAUGGGUUUCUGCAGCAGAAAUUACUCAACCGUUGUCCAUUGAUCGAUUAGCCAAACAAGCAUCCACGACAUCCAAUUCAUGAAUGCAUGCCCUAGCUAGCUUGCGGCCACAGAAGUAAUGAAGAAUUCAAGCCUUAGCCUAGCCUAGCUAGCUUGAUCGAUCCAGCCGGCCAGCCAGCAAGCUUGUUGAUCGCCGGCGACGGCUAGGGUGGGGCGGGGAUGGCUGAGGUUGCGGUGGCUGCCGUUACCUCGCUGCUGGGGCAGAUCCGCAACGAGGGACUAUUUCUGGGGCGCGUGAAGAGCGACGUCCGGUUCAUCAAGCAUGAGAUGGAGAGCAUGAGGACCUUCCUGGAGCACCUGGCCGAGACCGGCGGCCACCACGACCCGCAGGUCCGGACGUGGAUGGAGCAGGUUCGGGAGCUCGCCCGCGACUGCAGGAGCUGCGUCGACAUCUACCUGCAGCGCGGGAACCCAGCGGCGGCACCCUCCGGCGAUACCUCUGCUGGGCCCCUUGGUUUGUGCAGAGCAUGGUGCACCAGCACUACGCUGGCAUCGAGCUGAGCGAGCUCAAAGAGCGGGCGUACGACGUUGCUCAGCGUCGCAAGAGGUACGGCGUGGUGGUCGCCCCCAAGCUGGAAGCCAUGCCCCCGGCAUCGUCGUCAGAAGCUGAAGACUACGAUGCAACACGCGACAAGUUAGCUGGUGGCAGCAGCAAUUCUGAUCUCGGUCGAACAAGUGUUCUGGAGGGUCGCUUUCUGGAGAACUACUGUGGCGAGGAGCUUGCCCACUGGGUGAUGAGCACGGCGACAAUGGGAUCGUCAGCUUCGACGACAUCAAUACCAUCCAUCGCCAUUGUAUCGCCACCGAUACAAGAAGCUGAUGAUACAGCAGAGAUGGUUGCAAUACAUGAUACUUUGGCUUCUGUGGCGGCCACCCAUUUUGAGCACUCACUCUUGGUCUACCUCCCGGCAGUGCAUCACAACCCCUCCCAUAUCCGGAUCAAACUCAGGGUCAUCCUCUGCUACAUCCUGUAUCAAUGCGACAUGGAGAAGGAGAGCUGGCACUCCCGAUGGGGCCGCGAAUAUUUAAGCAUGGUGGACGAAUAUCGAACAUCGAAUCCGGUGUAUGCCAUGAAAUGUUACAUUUACAAAUUGAAGAUCGCUGACAUCUGUAAGGGUGACACUUUCAAGAGACUUGUCCAAAAUAUUAUACAAAUAGGCAGGAUGGUUACUAGACUCAACGGUGAGCUUGAAAGAAGUGUAGAUGCUAUGCUCCGAUUGACGAACAAGAAACCCUUGUGCAUACUCUUGAAAGCGCUGGAUUACCUUGAAUGCGGCGCUGAUUUCUCUGACGUGGAAAAGUACCACCAGCUUCGAGUUGAGAGGAUGCCAUUUCAAUUUAAAAUGCUACAAUUGGACGAAGAAAAAUUACUAGUGGCAACGGCCCAGAAGCUUAAAGGGCAUUUUGAAACUAACAUCCCGAUUCAUCUCAGUCAAGCCACAUAUGAAUCCAUCCUGCGUGAAGUGUUCCAAGCCAGCAACAAAACCCUACAGGCCCAGGAAGGUACCACUGCUCCCAGCCCAGGCGUUGGUACUAGUCAUGAUGUUGCAACAGCUACAACUACUACUACAUUCGACAAGGAUCAAAUCGAAGAAAUGAUAUACAUCCACAUGGUAGUUAAGUAAAUGCUCCUACAGGAGCUACAGGAUAUGCAGCCUCCACAAGUGCCAGAAGCAGGCAAAUCUUUGUUGAAGGCCGAGCUAGCCACACCUAAACCAGCCGAUCAGGACGACCAUGAAUUUACAAGUGCUAUCGAAGAAACCAAGCGAAAGAUCGCACAAGUCGGGUCAGAGAUUGGGGAACAGUUUCUUAUCGAAUGCUUAGUUGACGAGAUUAAAGAACUUUUGGGAGGUAAAAGGACCUUGAUUAUCAUUGAAGAUGAUAAGAACUAUGUAUCCCAGUGGUAUGGGCUCAGAAAUUCUUUGAAGCAGCUAUCAUGCUCAGGCAGCGCAAUGAUUGUGACCACCCAGGACACUCAAAGGGCCAAAGAAAUUUGCUAUCCACCAAGGGAGCCUAUAACCAAUUCUAUUGUUGGCAUGUACCAUGAUAUUUUGCUCAAGGUUACAAGCCAGCGAGUGAAUGGAGAUGCCAGUCAGAUUUUCCGUGACAUCCUGAACAAGUGUUGUCCAAGUGAGUUCUGCAUGAAGACCUUUGCUCAUGCCCUGUACACUAAUCCCAAUAGGAGCAAUGAAGAUAUGUGCAAGUUGCUUGGCUCCCUUCAUUCACAGCAAUCAUCGGGCAUCAAUGCUGAGAAGAUGAUCAAGUUCUCCUACGAUGAUCUCCGUAAAGAAUACAAGUCUUGCUUGCUGUACCUAUCAAUCUUCCCUCAUGGUUACUCCAUUAGGCGGUCAACCUUAGUAGAAUGUUGGGUUGUAGAAGGGCUCAUAACUAAGGAAGACUGGCCUAGUGCAAUCCAUCAUGCUGAGCGAUGUUUCGACACACUCAUUGAUCGAUGGCUUAUCUAUCCCAAUGAUAUUGGAGCUGCAGGAAAGAUAAAGAGUUGCAUUGUAGGUAAUCUUGUUCAUGAGUUCAUCACCAAGAUUGCAAAGAAACAACAUAUUGUGGAACCACGCCUGUCACAUCAUUUGGCUCGUCAUUUCUCCAUCUUCAAUGAGCUCCAACUCCGCGGCUCGGAUAGAAUCGACAGGUUCUUCAAGAAUCUCUCUAAAUCAUCCCAAUUGUCAAUGCUUAAAGUGCUAGAUCUAGAAGGCUGUUGUUGCUUCAAGGGGAAGGAGCACUACCUCAAGGACAUUUGCAGCAAUAUAUUACUACUCAAGUAUCUGAACCUAAGGGGAACGGAUAUUACCAAGCUACCUCAUCAAAUCAACAACCUCUAUGACCUGGAGGUAUUGGAUAUCCGGCAAACUAAGGUGCCUGCGUUUGCAACAAAGCAUGUCCUGCUCCUGAAGCUAAAACGUCUGCUGGCUGGUUCAAGUAUUAGUGAGACCACCAUGUCUAUCAGGGACAAGGAGCCAUUAUCCUCCUAUGUCCGAAUUCCUCUUGGGAUAAAAAAAAUGGCAAACGUGGAGGUAUUAUUCAAUGUCAAGGUCUGGACUGGCCAAGAGUUGAAAGACAUUGGGAAGCUAUGGCAACUGAGGAAGCUCGGUGUGGUUAUCGACGACAAGGACAAUCUACUCAAGAAUUUGCUUACAGCAAUUAGUGACUUAUGUGAGUGCCUCCGGUCUCUGUCCAUCACUAUUGUUCCCUGCAGUACCAAAAGAGAGGGCACUCCAUCCAUUGGAGACUUACCAGAGUAUAUUUCCCGUUGCCUGAAAUACCGUCCCAAGCUUCUUGAGAGCCUGUGCCUCCAGGGUACCACGCAAAAGGGCGAGCUUCUUACAUUAUUGGCUGAACGUUUUACUAAGCUUGUCAAGGUAACAUUGAGUUGGACCUCAUUGAAACAGAAAAAUCUGGAGGGUCUUGGUGAUCUGCCCAACUUAUGCUAUGUUAGGUUCAGAAACAAGGGAUACACAGAUGGCAAGCUCACCUUCAUUCAGCAAAAAUUCAAAAAUCUCAAGUACUUUCUUGUCGAGGGCAAAAACAUG
rnacentral:lncRNA from 1 species